GCCUCGGUAGCUCAGUGGUAGAGCGCCUGUCUCGUAAACAGGAGGUCGUGAGUUCAAUCCUCAUCCGAGGCU
rnacentral:tRNA from 1 species